rnacentral:lncRNA from 1 species
UAGCUCACACCACCCAUAUAUUUAAACACUCCAAACACCCAAAGGGAAGAAGAAAAGCUGCUAUUCAUUCCCUUGGUCAUGGCAUCAACUCUACUUUUUCUCUUCUCUCUCCUCCUCCUCCUACCUCUUCCAUCCUUCUCCCAGACCUGUUCCUCCCAAACUUUCUCCAAGAAUCGGCUCUUCGCCACCUGCAACGACCUCCGCCACCUCUCCGCCGCCCUCCACUGGACCUACGACGCCGCCAACUCCACGCUUUCCAUCGCCUUCGUCGCCCCCCCAUCCCGCUCCGGUGGCUGGGUUGCAUGGGCCCUCAACCCCACCGGCUCCGGCAUGGUGGGGGCGCAGGCUGUCGUCGGGCUCCGCCAGUCCGGUGGCUCCCUCGUAGCCAAGACUUUCAACAUCUCUGCUUAUGGCCCUGUCACGCCGUCGCCGAUCGCCUUCGAGACGUGGGGGCUCGAGGCCGAGGAGGAUGCCGGCGGCGUCAUGACGGUGUUCGCCAUGCUAAAGCUGCCAAGUAGCGUGACGAGGAUGAACCAGGCGUGGCAGGUUGGGCCGAGCUCUACUGAUGGCUUGCCUAACAAGCAUGACAUCGGGGUGGCGAAUUUGAACGCCAAGGGGACACUGGAUGUGGUCAGUGGGCAGAGCUCGGGAGGAAAGGAUUCAAGGUUGAAGGAGAGGAAUGUAAGUGCUUAUGACUCUCUCUCUAUAAUAAACAGAGUAAAGGUUUUUAGAACUUGGCAAGAGUUUUAAUUAGUGUUGAUAAGACAUUUAAUUUGGUUUAUCUGAAAGUAGAACAAUAGUUUUUUUUUCUUUUAUAAAUAUGAUGGUAAGGAAAAUUGGAAUGGGUUUGGGGAGUUUGAGUGAACUCUGUUCCUACUCUCUCUGAGAACAUUGAUUUUUUGUUAGUUGGAGGAUUGAAGGAAAAUGAAUAUUUAUCUAUCGACCGAUUGAUCGAUCUAUAUAGAUAGAUAUUGAAUUGGUUCUGCACAAUUUGAGUGGAUUGUAUUCUCCUUUGCUUUUUUUUUUUUGUUGGUUGGUUGAGUUGCAUAUUGAAUUGGAGCGAACCGUUUCAUUUUCUAGUUUUAAAUGAAGACUAUGUUUUCUCACUGAUAUUUUGGAUUUUCUGGUCUUUUUUCCAUUUCUCCUUCUGUUCCAGCAGAGGGAACGAGAAGAGCCAAAGAAUCUAUAUGCUUACAUUUAAAAGAAUAAAGUGUGGAACGUAGAUAAUUGUGGAACACUGAUAAUUUUGUACGCCACUAUGCUUUUUUUUAGCAAAUCUUUAAUGAAGUUAUUUUGCAACAAUCAAAAUCUUGUGCUACUCUCAAUAGCAACCAUCAGAAGAUGAAUGGCCAUGAAACAACACGCAUUAUAUAUAACAUAGUAUACACUUGUGGAUUGUUUUGUUUGAUGGUCAUCCAUCUUCUAAUGGCAACCAUCGAGAGCUGCACUGCUGUGAUAUUACAACCCGUGCAUAGCAAAGAAUCAGUGGCUAUGCCAUAUUAAUUCUUACAAGUACUUUAUUUUUUAGAUAUUAUUUUUUUUCUUUCUUUAUUUUUGUUUAUAUAUGUAGUUUUUCUGCUAUUCACUAUUUUUCAGUUUGUCUUUUUUUGGCGCCUCUCUUUUCUUCUCUAGAACCCUUCAAUUAUAUUUUCAGAAUCUAAAUAGUGAAAUCUCCAGAAAAGUUAUUUGUCUUUUCUUUCAAUUUUCCUUUACCUUCUUGGCGUUUCAUGCCGAUCCCUGCAACUGUCACUAAGGCAGAUGGAAGGUCCUUGUCAUGUUACUUAUUAUAGUUGAUAUACUUGUUCAGUGGAAUAACAUGUCUAAUUCUUUAUUACUAGUUUCCUCUACAACUAUAUACAUGGUGAGCUAUGGAUACCACCAUGAAGAACUUGAGGGAGCCAAAGUCCCUAAAAUUAACAGAUGGACUUCAUAUUACUAUAUUUCCAGUGAUCACCAUCCUAACUCACCCUUUGAAUAAGAUGGCAAUUAUCUUCUAAUGUUUCUGGGAAUUACUCUCAGUAAGCAACAAAAGUUUAUUGCGUCAGGAUCACUCACUGAAUGGCUAUUGUAUAUCAAGCAUAUAUAUGUUAGAGAAAACUCUUCAAAACUCCAGUUUGUUUUGCAAAAUAAUUCUGAAAACUUUCUUUAGAUCCAUUUUGUUGUAAUCAAUAUUUCAGACUGUUUUCAGUUCAUUGCUUUUGGCUUUUCUUUGUGGUACAGAUACAUGGCAUACUAAAUGCUGUGAGUUGGGGAAUUUUGCUUCCAAUUGGAGCAAUCAUCGCAAGGUAUCUGAAGGCAUUCAAGUCCUUAGCCCCAGCCUGGUUCUACCUUCAUGUGUUAUGUCAGCUAAUUGGUUAUGCUUUGGGGGUCACUGGCUGGGGAGUCGGUCUUAAUCUUGGGAGCAAAUCCAAGGGAGUUCAGUACACCACUCACCGAAACUUAGGCAUCACCCUCUUCUCCCUUGCCACCUUACAG